rnacentral:ncRNA from 1 species
AUUGUAUAAAGGCAAACUUAUUGAAAGAUAAGGACGCAAAGCCAAGGGCCUAAAUUAUUUUAUAAUAUGGCAGCCGGUUGCACAA